CGAAGAUGAAAAGCCCUCUUCGCACGUGUUCCUCGCUAUUCCAUGAGCAACUCUAUUAGCUUUCCUCGAGAUAUCCAUGAAUCCUUCAAUUGGCAAGGAAUCCAUCUCCUUCCAUACGUCUUCAACAAGCAGAGAAAGUUCAGUGAGCUCCAAAGUCGAUUUAUUGAUGAUGUUCACAACUUCCAGACAAUCUGAUUCCACCUUUAUUUAAAUUCCAGCUUCAAGGGUGGAGACACCCUACCAUGAUGAAACGACCUUCAGAAUCACAAACUACCCAUUUGAGUCCACUGGCAUGCAGCGAAUCCAUCCAAGUAGCAUCAUAAUUUAGUUCCCACUGGUUCUGCGUCGGGGGAGUCCAGCCGAUGGGCCUGGGAGUUCCUUGUUCUCCAUGUUCAGGUAAAACCCGAGCAGGACAUGCGUUCGCUCCUCUACAGGCUGGGGACCACUGACGGUUACCUUCCUAAGGCAAGCAUUGUCGACACAUGUCUGCCUGGAGGGAACAAGAGACCACAGCCGGUCACGCCCUGUAUAUAGUUGUCGCUGGGAAUGCAUGUUAUUGGUACGAUAAGCACAUUCCGUAGACGCGGGCAACAUGCCCAGAGCCACAGGUGGUGGUGCUACCUUGCACCUACUGGAAGCAUGCUCCCAUCGUACAACACGCGAAAUCCCUACCACCUCUAACCGUAGUCCUUUCUGGCCAGCCCUUGAGGCUAUAAAAGGAGGGACCUUCUUCUUCA